CGGUGUGUAGCGCAGUUUGGUUAGCGCACUCGUUUUGGGAACGAGAGAGCCUUGGUUCGAAUCCAAGUACACCGACCA
rnacentral:tRNA from 1 species